rnacentral:misc_RNA from 1 species
GUGAAUCAUCGAAUCUUUGAACGCAAAUUGCACUCUCCGGUUUUCCGGGAGAGUAUGCCUGUUUGAGGGUCUGUUUAAAAAAUAAUCGAGGCUGCUGCUGUGGUGGCGCUUCGGAAUUGGGUCAUCUUCCACCUUUCGGGGUUGUAAGCGACCUAAAAUUUUCUUACGAUCUCGCGAACGUUUCUAAGAUUUUCUUGCACGUUCAAGGUAUCGAUAUUAGACGUGACCGUCGUAUCGGAUCGCGUCCAUAAUAAUUUCUUUAACUGACCUCAGACAGGUAAGGGUACCCGCUGAACUUAAG